AGCAGCCGCGGUAAUUCCAGCUCCAAUAGCGUAUAUUAAAGUUGUUGCAGUUAAAAAGCUCGUAGUUGAAUUUCGGGAUUAGUACGUUGGUCGUGCCUUAGGUACGUACUGGUGUUACUGGUUCCUACCUUCUGACGAACCAUCAUGUCAUUAAUUUGGUGUGGCGGGGAAUCAGGACUGUUACUUUGAAAAAAUUAGAGUGUUUAAAGCAGGCUCGCGCUUGAAUACAUUAGCAUGGAAUAAUGAAAUAGGACGUUGACCCUAUUUUGUUGGUUUUUAGGAUUGACGUAAUGAUUAAUAGGGAUAGUUGGGGGCAUUAGUAUUCAAUUGUCAGAGGUGAAAUUCUUGGAUUUAUUGAAGACUAACUACUGCGAAAGCAUUUGCCAAGGAUGUUUUCAUUAAUCAAGAACGAAAGUUAGGGGAUCGAAGACGAUCAGAUACCGUCGUAGUCUUAACCAUAAACUAUGCCGACUAGGGAUCGGAUGAUGUUAAUUUUUUAAUGACUCAUUCGGCGCCUUACG
rnacentral:rRNA from 1 species